UGGCAAUCUGUUAGGGUUUGUGUCUGUCGUGUGGAAGCUUUGUUCAUUCGUCUUUUGCAAUAAAUCUUGCUACUGCUCAGUCUUUGGGUCCACACUGCUUUUAUGAGCUGUAGCAGUCACCACGAAGGUCUGCAGCUGCACUCCUGAGGCUAGCGAGACCACGAACCCACCGGGAGGAGCGAACGACUCCAGACGCGCUGACUUAAGAGCUGUAACAGCUUACCGCUAAGGUCUGCAGCUUCACUCCUGAGCCAGAGAGACCAGGAACCCACCUAGAAGGAACAAACUCCGGACAUGCCGCCUUUAAGAGCUGUAACACUCACCGCCAGGGUCCGCAGCUGCAUUCUUGAAGUCAGUGAGACCAAGAACCCACCAAUUCCAGACACACUGUCAUCAAAAAGUGGGAUAUCUUUUUAAACAGAGAUAACAUUGCAGAAUCUUGGAGUUGGAAAUAGACCUCAGCUGGGGUUUAGUCCUGUUUUCUCCUCAGAGCAGAAGUCCUGGGAUGCCGUUCUGGACUGAUUGUCAGUUUUUUCUCCUGUCCUUGAGCUAUUCUAAUGCCAGACAUCUGUGGCUUUACACAGCCAGGCUUUCAGUUAGAGAACUUGGUUAGCUCAGGUCAACAAAUGCUGCUCUGAGAACACUGACUCCCAUGUGGGGAGACUCUGCACCUGGAGCUCCGGGAGAGCCGGCUCAGGCCUCUUCCUGCUAUCCAGGGAACUGCAGUGGCGUUGGAGGGCCUUGCUGGGGCUGGGGCUGGGGAGAAGGGAUUCCAACCCUACUGAUAAUUCGUUUGGAAACACCGGGCUGUGGAUUUCAGAAGUUCUUGGGCAGCCUGAUUACCACUGGCAGUGAGCCGGGGACGAAGCCGAAGCUAUGAGUGACAGACGGAAAGAACUGGGGGCUUUGGUGAACCAGAGAACACUUAGCUCCUCCAGCCCUGAAGCAGGCGUCACCGCAGGGCUUAUGGUCCUAAGAGCCACUUAGUUUCCUUAUUCAUUAAACUAGUUUAAUUUGGGUUUUCUGCAUCCUGGAGGACACCAAGUCGGUGUGCGGAGGGACCCUGUAGACACGUGUGCAAAGAAUAAGCCGACGAUCAUGGAAUUUCUGAUGACGCCACUGACACGUGGGAUGGAGGCCUCCUUCCCAGGGCACCCCUACACUCAUGACAAUGAAUCCUGGCUCUUAUUCACCCCUUUGGAUUUCACAAGCAAGUAAUCGAUCUCUCUGCCUGCUGCCAUCCGAG
rnacentral:lncRNA from 10 species